rnacentral:rRNA from 1 species
CGCCGCCCCCGCCCCCCUACGGGAGGCAGCAGUAAGGAAUAUUGCGCAAUGGGCGAAAGCCUGACGCAGCGACGCCGCGUGGGGGAUGAAGGUCUUCGGAUUGUAAACCCCUUUCGGGAGGGAAGAUGGAAUGGGGUAACCCAUUCGGACGGUACCUCCAGAAGCAGCCACGGCUAACUUCGUGCCAGCAGCCGCGGUAAUACGAAGGUGGCGAGCGUUGUUUGGAUUUAGUGGGCGUACAGGGAGCGUGGGCGGUUCGGUAAGCCCUUUGUGAAAUCUCCAGGCUUCACCUGGAACAGUCGGAGGGGACUGCCGGGCUAGAGGACGGGAGAGGAGCGCAGAAUUCCCGGUGGAGCGGUGAAGUGCGUAGAGAUCGGGAGGAAGGCCGGGGGCGAGGGCGGCGCUCUGGAACGUUUCUGACGGUGAGGCUAGA